GCCGGUGUGGCGCAGCGGGUAGCGCGGCUGACUUGUAAUCAGCAGGUUGUGGGUUCGAGCCCCUCCGCCGGCU
rnacentral:tRNA from 1 species